CGUCAAAUCAUCAUGCCCCUUAUGUCUUGGGCUACACACGUGCUACAAUGGCUGCCACAAAGUGACGCGAGCCCGCGAGGGUGAGCCAACCACAAAAAAGCAGCCCCAGUUCGGAUUGCAGGCUGCAACCCGCCUGCAUGAAGUUGGAAUCGCUAGUAAUCGCGGAUCAGCAUGUCGCGGUGAAUACGUUCCCGGGCCUU
rnacentral:rRNA from 1 species